AAGGGAGACCUAAUUCGGGUAGGAGACGAAAAAAAAGUAGUCGCUACCAAGAAUCAAUCCCAAAAGGUCGGAGCGAGGCGAAAUUGGCUUUCAAACUAGGUUCUGGGUUCACACAAGACCUGAAUCAGGAACAAGGGCUAUUAGCUCAGGUGGUUAGAGCGCACCCCUGAUAAGGGUGAGGUCCCUGGUUCGAGUCCAGGAUGGCCCACCUGUACAGGUGGCCAAAACCAAGAAAAGAAGCGAGGAAUCAGCACCUGCUCUUACCUACAUAGUAAGAGAGAAUGCCGGCUCUGAGUACAGAGUCCAGAGGAACCUUGAAAACUGCAUAGAGCUAGGUGAAAAAGCCAAAAAAGAAGACCGCAA
rnacentral:tRNA from 1 species